rnacentral:rRNA from 1 species
CCUACGGGAGGCAGCAGUGGGGAAUUUUGGACAAUGGGCGCAAGCCUGAUCCAGCAAUGCCGCGUGCAGGAAGAAGGCCUUCGGGUUGUAAACUGCUUUUGUCAGGGAAGAAAUCCUCUAGGUUAAUACCCUUGGGGGGAUGACGGUACCUCAAGCAUUAAAACCUCCA